rnacentral:rRNA from 1 species
GAUGAACGCUGGCGGCGUGCCUAAUACAUGCAAGUCGAGCGAACGGACGAGAAGCUUGCUCCUCUGAUGUUAGCGGCGGACGGGUGAGUAACACGUGGAUAACCUACCUAUAAGACUGGGAUAACUUCGGGAAACCGUAGCUAAUACCGGAUAAUAUUUUGAACCGCAUGGUUCAAAAGUGAAAGACGGUCUUGCUGUCACUUAUAGAUGGAUCCGCGCUGCAUUAGCUAGUUGGUAAGGUAACGGCUUACCAAGGCAACGAUGCAUAGCCGACCUGAGAGGGUGAUCGGCCACACUGGAACUGAGACACGGUCCAGACUCCUACGGGAGGCAGCAGUAGGGAAUCUUCCGCAAUGGGCGAAAGCCUGACGGAGCAACGCCGCGUGAGUGAUGAAGGUCUUCGGAUCGUAAAACUCUGUUAUUAGGGAAGAACAUAUGUGUAAGUAACUGUGCACAUCUUGACGGUACCUAAUCAGAAAGCCACGGCUAACUACGUG